AGCCGGGCGGUCAGCACAGAGCGAACUAUUCUUUCGCCUUUUACUAAAGAAUACCGUGUGCACGCCGCAUUCUUCUCCGGCAUAUGCCUGUUUUUGGAGGGGUUUCAUUUAAUUGAU